UAGCAAGAAAGCUGAUGGAUGAUUUUCCUGAUCAUUGGGGAAUAUCAAUUGUAGUCAUUGUCGUUGUACUCACAUCAUUUGAUUUAAUCCUUCUUCUGCUAACCUCAGGAAGAGAUCCUGGUAUAAUACCUCGUAAUGCUCAACCUCCAGAAUUAGAAGGUUGUGAAGGGCACACUGAAGGGACAACAGGCCAAACUCCACCUUUUCGUUUACCAUGGACAAAGGAUGUUAUCAUCAAUGGAAUAAUUGUGAAGACCAAGUACUGUGACACGUGCAUGCUUUAUAGGCCUCCACGCUGUUC
rnacentral:misc_RNA from 1 species